GGGCAGUUUUAAGUUGGUGAGUGUGCCAUGAGACAUGCCAAGGACUGCAAUGGUUAGGUCAUCUGCGUUUUGGGAUGUCUGAAAUAUUUCUGAAAUAAAAGGUUAAGAAACAUCCUGUGGUGGUCUCACCUGUGAGAGUGGAGCAGAGCAGGCGUAGGGGUGAAUGCACGAGACGUGAGUGGGCUGGGGCGGGAGUGGGAGGGUGUAGAGCGCCCCUGGUCCUCCAUCCUGGAGUGGUGGGGACCAGCAUCCUUUCAGAAUUAGAGCCUGAUUCACAACCUGCAGCUACUGCUUAGCCCGAAGUAGCACCGCCCGCCCACACUGAGGGGAGGUAGGGAGAGGGGAGAGCAGCAAUUUUUCCCAGGAUCCCCUGGGGAGUCCCUGUGUGUGCUGGGCGUGGGCCUGGAAGGACAGAUGGGCUGGGUCAGCAGCUGGCAGGACCCUCCACCCUCUCUGGGGAGCAUCCCCACCACAGCCAUCCUAUUCUGUCCUAGAGUUAAGCUACCCCUUUUCCUCUCCUCCCCGCCCCGUUGGCCUCAGUUUCCCCAGCUUCAUGAACCCAAGCCAAGCUGGGGGAGGGGCAGGAGUAGGAAGGUAGACCUGCUUACUGAAUGCCCACCACCAUCCCACUGCAUUCCACAGGCAGGCUUUAGUCCUGUAGGAAAAGUACCUGGGAGGAAGGUGCUUAUCCGGAGACAGGCACUAGAAGGAUCUCUCCCAGCUGGAUGGCCUCUCAGAAGGCCCUGACCUGCCGCGUAUCUUCCUUACAGCAGAUCUGUAAGGUCCUGGGUUGUUUUACUGGUGGUGGUUCAGAGAGGCUAAGCCACUGUUCAAGGCUGUUCAGCAAGGAAGAGGUCACCUGGAGGCAGGAGAGACUGGGAAGGACAGAGCUGGUCCCUAAAGGUCACACAAGAGGUUUGGUUUCUACCAUGGAAAAUGGGAGGAAGAAGCCAGGCUUGGAAGUGUCCCAGAAGAGGAAGGGAGGGAGGGCCUGGGCUGGCCAGCCCCACCUGGGUGCAAACAGUUGGAACAAAGACCCACCCCACCCUGGCUGCCCUGGUGCCUGGCCCUGUGGGAUCCUAAAGACAGUGGUCACCCUGCUCAA